AUGGGGGGCGGGGGUCCCGGCACCCCCCAGGCUGCAGCCGGCUCCCAGGGGGACGCGUCCUGCUCCGGGGGGGGGGGGGGGGGGGGGGGGGGGGGGGGGGGGGGGGGGCGGGGGGGGGGGGGGGGGGGGGGGGGGGGGGGGGGGGGGGGGGGGGGGGGGGGGGGGGGGGGGGGGGGGCUCAGCCUGACCCCAAACACCCUGCUCGGCCCCGACACCGUGCAACAGGGCUGGGUGCUCCUGGCUGUGCCCCGUCCCUGUCCCUGUCCCUGUCCCUGUCCCUGUCCCUGGUUGGGGUCAGCACAAGCAGCCCCCCCCCCCAGCUCAUUUUCAGCUCCUCGCACCCGCACAUCCCCAGGCACUGACCUGAAGCUGCCCCCCCCCAAGCCCCCUGGGCACCCCCAGAGACCCCCAGACACCCCCACCGCUUACAGCCCCCUCCCCAACUCGCAGGCCAGACCGGGGGGGGGGGUGAGGAAAGCAUCCAAAAAAUGUGAGCUGGAGCUGGGGCCAUCGCCGGCACCCCAGGGCAAAACGGGGGGGACCCGGGGCCGAGCCUGCUCCAUGGCUGGGGACCACCAGGGACGGGCUGGGGGGGGGGGGCUGAGGGGCUCUGUGCCUCCAUCCCCGAGCAGGGGGGGUGCAGGAGGGGGGGGUCCGUGGCCGUGCCGGGCGCCUCCAUCCCGAAAUCUCAGCAACGGUUCCCAGGGCAAUGGGCAAAGGCCGCCGCUGGCCCCGCAGCCCCGCACAGGCGGCCCCUUUGUGCCCCCCCCCCCCCCUCAGCCUGUGCCCGAAGUGGGGGGGGGGGUGGCACUGCUGGGACCCCCCCAGCCCCCUGCCUGGCUCCCCAGCCCCUCCAGCUCCAUCCCCGUCCCUCUGUCCGUCCCCAUCCGCUGCAGCCCUUCCUCCCCCCCAGCCCCUCUUUCUCCAGCCCCCCCAUUCCCCAUCCCGCUCUCCCUGCCCCCUCAGUCCCCCCCCGACCCCCCCAGCCCUCCCCUGCUCCCUGACCCCGUCCCUGUCCACUGCACCCCCUACUCCCCAUCCCUCUGUCCCUGUUCCUAUGUCCCCUGCACCCCACAUGCUUCCCAGCCCUUUUCCCAGCCCUGUCCCCAUCUCUCUGCCCCCAUCCCCUGCCCCCCCGGCCCCUGGGCCCCUGUCCCUGUCCCUCUGUCCGUGUCCCUGCCCUCUGCAUCCCCCCAUGCUUCCCAUCCCUUUCCUGAUCCCUGUCCCUCUGUCCCCAUCCCUGUCCCUGUCCCCAUCCCUCUGCCCCCAUUCCCUGCUCCCCCCCUGGCCCCUGGCCCUGUCCCUCGUCCCCCACCCCUCUGUCCCCAUCCCUCUGUCCCUGUCCCCAUCCCCAUCCCUCCGUCCCAGUCCCUCCGUCCCCAUCCCUGUCCCCAUCCCCUGCCCCCCCCGGCCCCUCUCUCUGUCCCCAUCCCCAUCCCUCUGUCUCUGUCCCUCUGUCCCCAUCCCUCCAUCCCUGUCCCUUCGUCC
rnacentral:lncRNA from 1 species